rnacentral:rRNA from 2 species
UGGGGAAUAUUGGACAAUGGGCGCAAGCCUGAUCCAGCCAUGCCGCGUGAGUGAUGAAGGCCUUAGGGUUGUAAAGCUCUUUUAGCGGGGACGAUAAUGACGGUACCCGCAGAAAAAGCCCCGGCUAACUUCGUGCCAGCAGCCGCGGUAAUACGAAGGGGGCUAGCGUUGCUCGGAAUCACUGGGCGUAAAGCGCACGUAGGUGGGUCGCUGAGUCGGAGGUGAAAUCCUGGAGCUCAACUCCAGAACUGCCUUCGAUACUGGCGAUCUUCGAGUCCGGGAGAGGUGGGUGGAACUGCGAGUGUAGAGGUGAAAUUCGUAGAUAUUCGCAAGAACACCAGUGGCGAAGGCGGCUCACUGGCCCGGUACUGACGCUGAGGUGCGAAAGCGUGGGGAGCAAACAGG